rnacentral:tRNA from 1 species
UGCAUCGCCCGGGAUUCGAACCCGGGCCUCCCGCGUGCAAGGCGAGAAUUCUACCACUGAACCACCGAUGG